CCUACGGGUGGCUGCAGUGAGGAAUAUUGGUCAAUGGACGCAAGUCUGAACCAGCCAAGUAGCGUGCAGGAUGACGGCCCUCCGGGUUGUAAACUGCUUUUAGUUGGGAAUAAAAGGGGGCUCGUGAGCCCCGUAUUGUAUGUACCAUCAGAAAAAGGACCGGCUAAUUCCGUGCCAGCAGCCGCGGUAAUACGGAAGGUCCGGGCGUUAUCCGGUUUUAUUGGGUUUAAAGGGGGCGUGGGCCGGCUUUUACGUCAGCGGUGAAAGUCCGCGGCUCCACCGGGGAAUUGCAAUUGAAACUGGAGGCCUUGAGUGCGCACAGGGAUGCCGGAAUUCAUGGUGUAGCGGUGAAAUGCUUAGAUAUCAGGAAGAACUCCGAUCGCGAAGGCAAGUGUCCGGGGUGCAACUGACGCUGAGGCUCGAAAGUGCGGGUAUCAAACAGGAUUAGAUACCCGAGUAGUC
rnacentral:rRNA from 1 species